CCUACGGGGGGCAGCAGUGAGGAAUAUUGGUCAAUGGCCGUAAGGCUGAACCAGCCAAGUCGCGUGAAGGAAGAAGGAUCUAUGGUUUGUAAACUUCUUUUAUAGGGGAAUAAAGGUAUCCACGUGUGGAUAUUUGCAUGUACCCUAUGAAUAAGCAUCGGCUAACUCCGUGCCAGCCGCCGCGGUAAUACGGAGGAUGCGAGCGUUAUCCGGAUUUAUUGGGUUUAAAGGGUGCGUAGGUUGUUUUUUAAGUCAGCUGGGAAAGUUUGUGGCUCAACCAUAAAAUUGCCGUUGAUACUGGAAGACUUGAGUGUGUUUGAGGUAGGCGGAAUGCGUGGUGUAGCGGUGAAAUGCAUAGAUAUCACGCAGAACUCCGAUUGCGAAGGCAGCUUACUAAGCCAUAACUGACAUUGAAGCACGAAAGCGUGGGGAUCAAACAGGAUUAGAUACCCGGGUAGUC
rnacentral:rRNA from 1 species